rnacentral:rRNA from 1 species
GACGAACGCUGGCGGCGUGCUUAACACAUGCAAGUCGAGCGGUAAGGCCUCUUCGGGGGUACACGAGCGGCGCACGGGUGAGUAACACGUGGGUGACCUGCCCUCAGCUCUGGGAUAAGCCUGGGAAACUGGGUCUAAUACCGGAUAUGACCUUUCCUCGCAUGGGGUUUGGUGGAAAGUUUUUUCGGCUGGGGAUGGGCCCGCGGCCUAUCAGCUUGUUGGUGGGGUGAUGGCCUACCAAGGCGACGACGGGUAGCCGGCCUGAGAGGGCGACCGGCCACACUGGGACUGAGACACGGCCCAGACUCCUACGGGAGGCAGCAGUGGGGAAUAUUGCGCAAUGGGCGGAAGCCUGACGCAGCGACGCCGCGUGGGGGAGGACGGCCUUCGGGUUGGAAACCUCUUUCGACCCCGACGAAUUUGGACGGUAGGGGUAGAAGAAGCACCGGCCAACUACGUG